rnacentral:rRNA from 1 species
GUGUCAGCAGCCGCGGUAAUACGUAGGCAGCAAGCGUUGUUCGGAGUUACUGGGCGUAAAGGGUGCGUAGGCGGUUGUUUAAGUUUGGUGUGAAAUCUCCCGGCUUAACUGGGAGGGUGCGCCGAAUACUGAAUGACUAGAGUGCGGGAGAGGAGAGUGGAAUUCCUGGUGUAGCGGUGAAAUGCGUAGAUAUCAGGAGGAACACCGGCGGUGUAGACGGCUCUCUGGACCGCAACUGACGCUGAGGCACGAAAGCGUGGGUAGCAAACAGGAUUAGAAACCCCCGUAGUCC